UGCCGAUGUUACUAAAUGCCUGUGCAAUUUUCCUUAAAGUCGGUUUCAGAGUGUGAAGCCUGCAGAAUGUGGUUUUCCAUUCUUCUAAAAUUUCCUUGUUGAGACGUACCAAAUCUCUUUAAUUUUGCCUGUGGUUCAUCUGUUCCCAGGUUUGAAAAUCCAUUCCCAGCUCGAUCAGAAAGGCGAGGGAGUUAUUGCCAAUCACUGGAGCCAGUCUAUCAAUG
rnacentral:lncRNA from 1 species